CGCGGCCUAUCAGCUUGUUGGUGGGGUAGUGGCUUACCGAGGCUUUGACGGGUAGCCGGCCUGAGAGGGUGACCGGCCACAUUGGGACUGAGAUACGGCCCAGACUCCCACGGGAGGCAGCAGUGGGGAAUAUUGCACAAUGGGCGGAAGCCUGAUGCAGCAACGCCGCGUGCGGGAUGACGGCCUUCGGGUUGUAAACCGCUUUCGCCUGUGACGAAGCGUGAGUGACGGUAAUGGGUAAAGAAGCACCGGCUAACUACGUGCCAGCAGCCGCGGUGAUACGUAGGGUGCGAGCGUUGUCCGGAUUUAUUGGGCGUAAAGGGCUCGUAGGUGGUUGAUCGCGUCGGAAGUGUAAUCUUGGGGCUUAACCCUGAGCGUGCUUUCGAUACGGGUUGACUUGAGGAAGGUAGGGGAGAAUGGAAUUCCUGGUGGAGCGGUGGAAUGCGCAGAUAUCAGGAGGAACACCAGUGGCGAAGGCGGUUCUCUGGGCCUUUCCUGACGCUGAGGAGCGAAAGCGUGGGGAGCGAACAGGCUUAGAUACCCUGGUAGUCCACGCUGUAAACGGUGGGUACUAGGUGUGGGGUCCAUUCCACGGGUUCCGUGCCGUAGCUAACGCUUUAAGUACCCCGCCUGGGGAGUACGG
rnacentral:rRNA from 1 species